AACGAACGCUGGCGGCAUGCCUAACACAUGCAAGUCGAACGAGACCUUCGGGUCUAGUGGCGCACGGGUGCGUAACGCGUGGGAACCUGCCCUUAGGUUCGGAAUAACUCCCCGAGAGGGGUGCUAAUACCGGAUAAUGUCUUCGGACCAAAGAUUUAUCGCCUUUGGAUGGGCCCGCGUUGGAUUAGCUAGUUGGUAGGGUAAAAGCCUACCAAGGCGACGAUCCAUAGCUGGUCUGAGAGGAUGAUCAGCCACACUGGGACUGAGACACGGCCCAGACUCCUACGGGAGGCAGCAGUGGGGAAUAUUAGACAAUGGGCGAAAGCCUGAUCCAGCAAUGCCGCGUGAGUGAUGAAGGCCUUAGGGUUGUAAAGCUCUUUUACCCGGGAUGAUAAUGACAGUACCGGGAGAAUAAGCUCCGGCUAACUCCGUG
rnacentral:rRNA from 1 species